rnacentral:rRNA from 1 species
UACGGAGGGGGCUAGCGUUGUUCGGAAUUACUGGGCGUAAAGCGCACGUAGGCGGCUUUGUAAGUUAGAGGUGAAAGCCCGGGGCUCAACUCCGGAAUUGCCUUUAAGACUGCAUCGCUAGAAUUGUGGAGAGGUAAGUGGAAUUCCGAGUGUAGAGGUGAAAUUCGUAGAUAUUCGGAAGAACACCAGUGGCGAAGGCAGCUCACUGGGACGGUACUGACGCUGAGACGCGAAAGCGUGGGGAGCAAACAGG